rnacentral:rRNA from 1 species
UAGGGAAUCUUCCGCAAUGGGCGAAAGCCUGAUGGAGCAACGCCGCGUGCGUGAUGAAGGCCUUCGGGUUGUAAAACUCUGUUAUUAGGGAAGAACAAAUGUGUAAGUAACUAUGCACGUCUUGACGGUACCUAAACAGAAAGCCACGGCUAACUACGUGCCAGCAGCCGCGGUAAUACGUAGGUGGCAAGCGUUAUUCGGAAUUAUUGGGCGUAAAGCGCGCGUAGGCGGUUUUUUAAGUCUGAUGUGAAAGCCCACGGCUCAACCGUGGAGGGUCAUUGGAAACUGAAAGCCUGGAGUGGGGAGGGGGAAAGUGGAAUUCCAGGUGUAGCGGUGAAAUGCGCAGAGAUAUGGGGGAACACCAGGGGCGAAGGCGACUUUCUGGUCUGUAACUGACGCUGUUGUGCGAAGGGGUGGGGAUCAAACAGG